rnacentral:rRNA from 1 species
CCUACGGGAGGCAGCAGUAAGGAAUAUUGGUCAAUGGAGGCAACUCUGAACCAGCCAUGCCGCGUGCAGGAAGACAGCCCUAUGGGUCGUAAACUGCUUUUAUACGGGAAUAAACUUUGAUUCGUGAAUCAAGCUGAAUGUACCGUAAGAAUAAGGAUCGGCUAACUCCGUGCCAGCAGCCGCGGUAAUACGGAGGAUCCAAGCGUUAUCCGGAUUUAUUGGGUUUAAAGGGAGCGUAGGCGGCCUAUUAAGUCAGGGGUGAAAGACGGUGGCUCAACCAUCGCAGUGCCUUUGAUACUGAUGGGCUUGAAUAUAGUUGAGGUAGGCGGAAUGUGACAAGUAGCGGUGAAAUGCAUAGAUAUGUCACAGAACACCGAUUGCGAAGGCAGCUUACUAAGCUAUGAUUGACGCUGAGGCUCGAAAGCGUGGGGAUCAAACAGGAUUAGAUACCCUGGUAGUCCACGCCCUAAACGAUGAUAACUCGAUGUUGGCGAUAUACAGUCAGCGUCCAAGCGAAGCGUUAAGUUAUCCACCUGGGAGUACGCCCGCGAGGUGAACGUCGAAAGGAGUUGACGG